rnacentral:piRNA from 1 species
UGAGACAUUGCAGUUUGAG